rnacentral:lncRNA from 1 species
CCAACGUUAUUUGGCAUGUAUGCGAAAUAGAGGGUCUGCACUUUCAGGCCUUCGCAAAAAUUUGUUUUAGAUUUUGAAGAUUUUAUCUUUGGUUCUACUGCUAAUCAGAUAAGUAUUUGAUCUUUAUUCUUGUAAAUUAAUAGAAAACUUUUAGAUGCAACCUAGACUAUCUGAAGAAAAAUAGUUUCUCUUCCCUUCAGGAUUCAGGAAGGAUGGC